UUCAUUAACCCCUUAACGACAAUUGCCGGUCCUGGCACGACACGGAAAAGCAUGUGCUUUACGACAAUUGACGUGCCAGGACCGGCACCAACGCCGCGAUCGGAACGAAGGGGCCAUCUCUGGCCCCUCCACGGGGCGUCAACAUCCGCCAUACUUUGUAUGGCGGCGGACGCCCGUUUUAAAAGCGUUUAGGAGGCGAUCGACGAUCGCCUCCUAAACUUAAAUGGUGUCGCUGGAAUGCCUCGAUCAGGAGGCAUCCAGCGACACCAAACACUUACCUUUCGAUGGGCUGUGACCGCUCCGGAGAGCGGUCACAGCCGCAGCUGCCGAUGAUCUUCGCCAUCAAGCAAGAUGGCCGCUGCCCUGUAACAGGAACCAACAAAUUUUAAAAGCUCGCUAGAUGGUCCAGACCAUCUAGAGAACUUUGGCUCCACUUGCAGGUUGAAUACAGGUACUGCAUUCACCAUGCAAGUCAAUGGAGCCCAGCUUUCUAAUCACAGUGUGAUUAGUAAAAAUAAAUUAAAAAAUAAAAUAAAAUUAAUAAUAAUUAGAAAAAAAUAGUAAAAAACUAGUAAAAUGUAAAAAUCAUUUCCCACUGAUGUCACUAUCAAGGGAACCUCCAAGUUGAAAAAAAAUGUUAAAAAAAAUUUAAAAAAAGGCAAAAAAAAAUAAAAUAUAUAUAUAAAAAAUAUAUUUUUGUGAGCAAGUCCUAAAAUUAGCAUAUUAGCUUAAAACAAUUCUCGCAUGGAAA